GUAGGGGGCAAGCGUUGUCCGGAAUUAUUGGGCGUAAAGAGCGCGUAGGCGGYCYSAUAAGUCSGCUGUGAAAGYCMGGGGCUCAACCCYUGAAAGCCGGYCGAWACUGUCGGACUAGAGUCCGGAAGAGGCAAGUGGAAUUCCCGGUGUAGCGGUGAAAUGCGCAGAUAUCRGGAGGAACACCAAUGGCGAAGGCWGCUUGCUGGGACGGUACUGACGCUGAGGCGCGAAAGCGUGGGGAGCAAACAGGAUUAGAUACCCUGGUAGUCCACGCCGUAAACGAUGGGCACUAGGUGUGGGAGGUGUCGACUCCUCCCGUGCCGCAGCUAACGCAUUAAGUGCCCCGCCUGGGGAGUACGGCCGCAAGGCUA
rnacentral:rRNA from 1 species